GCGUCCUUUUGAGAGUGGGACCAUAGCUGCUCUUCGCUCUCUUUCAUUCUCUCAUUCCAAAAAUUUCCGUUGAGCAAGUAGCAUCAGUGCGUGUUCAAGGGGAAUUCGGAGUUCACAAGCGACGAUAUAUAGACGCCGCGCAGUUUUAGUGCAAGAUUACAUUCACAGUUUUACUCCGAGCAGAGGAUAUUUUUCAUUUUGCUGUUUUGAAGAUUUCGAGUCAACAAGCAACGCUAUUAUUCGUUUGGAGCGUUCUGUUGCCGAGGAGCGUGGCUUGUCAUGGAAUUUAUUGACGCUUAGCUGCCUCAGUACAAGGUUUCGGUUGUAUUUCAGCAGAAAUUUUUUACUUCUUUAUUAUCCAUUUUCAUCAUGGCUGGGGAUGAAAAUGCUUUGUGCCUGUUGUGUGACAAAGUUUUGAACGAUGGACGUGCAACACGGAC